GCUGGGUGUGGUGGUGCACGCCUGUAGUCCUAUCUACUUGGGAGACUGAGGUGGGAGGAUCAUUUGAGCUCGGGAGGUUAAGGCUGCAGUGAACCAUGGUUGCACCACUGCACUCCAGCCUGGGCUAACAGAGUGAGAUCUUGUCUCUU
ensembl:misc_RNA Metazoa_SRP Metazoan signal recognition particle RNA